rnacentral:rRNA from 1 species
GACGAACGCUGGCGGCGUGCCUAAUACAUGCAAGUUGAGCGCUGAAGGUUGGUACUUGUACCAACUGGAUGAGCAGCGAACGGGUGAGUAACGCGUGGGGAAUCUGCCUUUGAGCGGGGGACAACAUUUGGAAACGAAUGCUAAUACCGCAUAAAAACUUUAAACACAAGUUUUAAGUUUGAAAGAUGCAAUUGCAUCACUCAAAGAUGAUCCCGCGUUGUAUUAGCUAGUUGGUGAGGUAAAGGCUCACCAAGGCGAUGAUACAUAGCCGACCUGAGAGGGUGAUCGGCCACAUUGGGACUGAGACACGGCCCAAACUCCUACGGGAGGCAGCAGUAGGGAAUCUUCGGCAAUGGACGAAAGGCUGACCGAGCAACGCCGCAUGAGUGAAGAAGGUUUUCGGAUCGUAAAACUCUGUUGGUAGAGAAGAACGUUGGUGAGAGUGGAAAGCUCAUCAAGUGACGGUAACUACCCAGAAAGGGACGGCUAACUACGUG